UUCGGUAGUCCUAAAAAUUCCUGUUUCAGGAAUUUUGUCCUGGCUAACGUACUAAAUCUGUCAACGUCGCAUACUUUUCAAUCUUGUUUUGUUUUGGAAUUUGACAAGAUUAACCUCAGAAAAAGUUUAAAAUUAUAAUUUUUAUGAACAUUGACGAAUAAUGUUAUGAAUAAUGUAAUAGAACCUGAUAUAAAAUAAUCCGGAAAUAUUUACAAAUAAAGCAUAAACAAAAUGAAAGUGAUAGCAACACGAUUACCUUUGAUAAUGUGUUUUUUAUAUAAGAAUACGUCUACAUGGGUUGAAAUCUCAGAAAAUAUUAAGCUAUCCACAAAUUCCUGAAAAUAAAUUAGCCGUGAUUUGCGGAAAAAAUGUUCUUAAUUAUUUUUCCCACAUGAUGUCCUUUCAGGUUCCAGGAAACAGCACGGGCAUGUAUUAGGCAUAAUAAGUAAUUAUAAAAAUAUGAGCAAAAAUGAGAUGGUUUAAAAGAGUGAAAAUUUUAAGGUUAAGAAAUCUGAAACUCAAAGGAAAACUGAUUAAAAACUGAUAAAUAAGUACCGUUAAACUGGAAAAGCAAACUACUAUACGCAUAAUACAAAAGACAAUUUAUCAUCUUUAAAACCAUAAGGCAUAUGAUAUAUGAGAUAGGUAGCACAAGGACAUAUCGGCAAGCCUUAGGUUGGUGUUUACGCGUGUAGGUGUGAAUCGCUAUGGUGAUCUGGUCGGAGAUAGAAAAAUAUAAAAUAUUUAUUACAUAACCACACUUAAUCUGAUGAUUUCCUAUGCAUUCAAUACCAAGUUCAAUACAUCUGAUUGUAAUAAGCAUAUUGGCCAUACUCUUCAUAUACAU